CCUACGGGCGGCAGCAGUGAGGAAUAUUGGUCAAUGGACGCGAGUCUGAACCAGCCAAGUAGCGUGAAGGAUGACUGCCCUAUGGGUUGUAAACUUCUUUUAUAAGGGAAUAAAAUGUUCCACGUGUGGGUUUUUGUAUGUACCAUAUGAAUAAGGAUCGGCUAACUCCGUGCCAGCAGCCGCGGUAAUACGGAGGAUCCGAGCGUUAUCCGGAUUUAUUGGGUUUAAAGGGAGCGUAGGUGGAUUGUUAAGUCAGUUGUGAAAGUUUGCGGCUCAACCGUAAAAUUGCAGUUGAUACUGGCAGUCUUGAGUACAGUAGAGGUGGGCGGAAGUCGUGGUGUAGCGGUGAAAUGCUUAGAUAUCACGAAGAACUCCGAUUGCGAAGGCAGCUCACUGGACUGCCACUGACACUGAGGCUUGAAAGUGUGGGUAUCAAACAGGAGUAGAUACCCUGGUAGUC
rnacentral:rRNA from 1 species